GCCAUCAUUCAAACAUCAAAAAAUUUCUUCAGGUUUUCAGAGCUUGUAACCUGAUCUUUUUAUUCCCAAAGAGAGCAAAUACUUAUACUUGAAAGUAGAUUUGAUUUUGGAAGGAGACCAAAGUUAUUUGGCUUAAUUUUAUGAAUAAAAUCAGGGUGAAAGGCUACUUUUUGGUCCAAAAGAAGGUGCAACCAUAAAGUAAUGACAUUGAUUUUGUGUGUCUUACCAAGUCCCAAAGGAAUAUCCAAAUACAGUGUGAAGAAUGGGUAUCAGGUAAAUAAGUAUGUAGUUUUCAAACGUGACUGCGGUGAGAAUGGUGAAUGUGGCUGUGGUGAAAUGACAAAUCUGAGUACAAAUAUACUGGGGUAUUUGCAAUUGAUCCGUCUUAUUACUGUCUCUGAUGGUAUAGCUUGCAUCUUAUGUCCAAAAUUCUUGCUAAGAAUAUCUCUCAGUAGACUGGUGCUUCUCAAAUUCAACGUGGACAUGAAUUCUCUAAAGUUAAAAUGCAGAUUCAUGAAGUGUGGAUGGGGCCUGAGACUAAGCAUUUCUAAGCAGCUCCCGGAUGCUGAGCCAGAGAGACUUUACUCUGAAUGUCACUGCCCCAGGUUCUCCAAACCUGGUAAAUCCUGCAAGAAGAGGAAGAUAAGCAUGAAACAAGAUCACUCAUGUUCUGCUGCACCGUGACAUCCCAGAAGUUCUCUGUACCUGUUCUUUGUUUUAUGGCAGAAUUGGAAUCACUGCUAAGGUUGUAUGCCCAAACCCCUCCUUGUAUGUACUGAGAACUGAUGCUGAAAGAGAAAAUAUUCUGUAUUGUUGGCAGAGUUCUGGCAAAUUAUUGUCCAUUGUGAUUUCUCGUUUGGGCAAAACUUAAUCAUGAUCCAAGUUUUAUAUUAGAAAAAUGCAUAUAAAAAGUGAUUGCAAGUAUUAUGUAAGAGUUAGAAAACAUCUUAUCUAUCCAAAGUCAUAAUUUCCAAAUAUAACUCCUUUCUGAGUUGGCAGCACAUAUGUCUGACUUAGGCCUACUAUGAACAAGAGUGGUUGAGUUAUUAAAACUCCAUUAAUCUAAUUUGUUUAAAUGGAAGUAGUACCUUAUGCCUGGCUUAAACAGAAUUCAAAUGAAGAGAGAGGAGAAAUAUUAUUUGAUGUAAUUAAGAUGUCAGACCCUACUCAUUUAUGAAAAGAUGCAAAGUCAACAAAAGAAGCCCUGUGGUGUAGCGUUUGGCUUUGAAAAUGCUAAAUAAAUGGAAAAAUAAUCGAGUGGUAACAAUCAUAGAUAUGUGAUGCUUGUUCACAAUCUUCAAAUGCAAAAAUUUCUCUAUCUACCUUCUUUCUUUCUGUUGAUGCACACCUCACUAAAAUGUAUAAAUGAGUCUCAUUUGCUCUUCUAGACUGUGGCCUAUGGUGCUAAAUCCUAGGAGCCUUUAGUGUAAGCUAAAGAAAACUGUCAAUACCAUACAUACAUCUAAACGCUGCCAAUUUAAAACCUUAUUACUGGAGGCCAUAAGCUCUGGAAUUAUCCUUGUCAGAUCUAAGGAAGCAGCC
rnacentral:lncRNA from 1 species